GAUGAAGAACGCAGCGAAAUGCGAUAAGUAAUGUGAAUUGCAGAAUUCAGUGAAUCAUCGAAUCUUUGAACGCACAUUGCGCCCGCCAGUAUUCUGGCGGGCAUGCCUGUCUGAGCGUCAUUUCAACCCUCAUGCCCCUAGGGCGUGGUGUUGGGGAUCGGCCAAAGCCCGCGAGGGACGGCCGGCCCCUAAAUCUAGUGGCGGACCCGUCGUGGCCUCCUCUGCGAAGUAGUGAUAUUCCGCAUCGGAGAGCGAUGAGCCCCUGCCGUUAAACCCCCAACUUUCCAAGGUUGACCUCAGAUCAGGUAGGAAUACCCGCUGAACUUAAGCAUAUCAAUAAGCGGAG
rnacentral:misc_RNA from 1 species